rnacentral:rRNA from 1 species
CCUACGGGGGGCAGCAGUGGGGAAUAUUGCACAAUGGGGGAAACCCUGAUGUAGCGACGCCGCGUGAGUGAAGAAGUAUUUCGGUAUGUAAAGCUCUAUCAGCAGGGAAGAAAAUGACGGUACCUGAUUAAGAAGCCCCGGCUAACUACGUGCCAGCAGCCGCGGUGAUACGUAGGGGGCAAGCGUUAUCCGGAUUUACUGGGUGGAAAGGGAGCGUAGACGGCAGCACAAGUCUGGAGUGAAAUGCCAGGGCUGAACCCCGGAACUGCUUUGGAAACUGUGCAGCUAGAGUGCAGGAGAGGUAAGUGGAAUUCCUAGUGUAGCGGUGAAAUGCGUAGAUAUUAGGAGGAACACCAGUGGCGAAGGCGGCUUACUGGACUGUAACUGACGUUGAGGCUCGAAAGCGUGGGGAGCAAACAGGAUUAGAUACCCGAGUAGUC